rnacentral:rRNA from 2 species
CCUGGUAGUAAUUAGUACGGUAGAACCACCUGAUUCCAUUCCAAACUCAGAAGUAAAAUGUAGUUACGCCGAUGGUAGUGUAGGGUCUACCACAUAUGACAUUAGGAAAUUACCAUAU